CUGCAAUGCUUCAUGCAACUUGUCUCGCAACGAUUUUGACCAUUGCAAGGCAUGUUAAACGGUGCAAUGACUCGUGCAACUUGUCUCGCAACGCCAUUGCGAGACAAGUUGCAUGAAAAAUUGCACCGUGUAACAGGGCCUUUAUUCAGCAAAUUGUGCAUGCUGCCUUUGAUCCCUUCGGGGGGUGAGGCAGCAUUUUCCUUGCGAUAGUAACUCCUAGUUAUAGUAUAAGACCAUGAAAGAGACUUGGAGCAAAUCUAUGUUUUUCCGGACACUCGUUUGACUGACGGAAAGUCGAAAGAUUGGAGUACGUCCUCCAGUAAUAUUAUAGCUCAGUUGCACAUUAGUAUUCAGUUCCGAACGAUUCCGAAGGCUCGACGAACUUGGUCCGCCAUAUUUUUGACAUAUUUUAUGAUUUUUAUCGGACAACUUGUGUUUUAGUUUGUUAGAUUCGUGCAUGUUACAGCAUUAUUUAUAUUUAUCCACAUAUGAACUACAGUAAGUGCUUAUUUAGGGAUUUGGAUUUUAAUUAUUUAAAUACUG